rnacentral:rRNA from 1 species
CCCCCUCCCAUCCCCCAUUCCCACCCAUCACUCCCCCCCGAACCUUCUAGAAGCCCCCGAGGCCAGAACCCUACGCACCCAUGGCGGCCUCGCUCCUCUCGCGCGCCGCCUCGGCCGCCUUCGCCCUCCGCGGCGGCGCCCGGCUCCUCCCCAAGGAAACCCCCCUUCCUCCUCCCCUCCUCCUCCCACUCCUCCUCAUCCUCCUCGCCACCGCCGCCGGCACGCUCCCCGCGGUCGUAACCCUGCCGCUGCAACCACCGCCUCGAUCUGCCAGGUCUGAUAGUGUUCGCCUCUUGGAAACUUGCAGGGCAGGGUCGGAUGGGCGCGCGGCGGAGGUCGGGUGCGGGGCGUCGCUGUCACCGUCGAUGACGCGGUUCGGGAUCGCCGUGCGCUUCAACGCCAUGUCGUCGGCCGUCUCGGAGGCCGCCACCACCACGGCCGCGUCGAGCGUCGUCCACGCGGUGCCGCGGACCGAGCCUGUCAUGUCCGCCGAGUGGCUGCACGCCAACCUCAGGGACCCUGAUGUGAAGGUUUCUUCGUCAUGAUCUGGAUUGCCGCAGUCAUGUUCAAGUCCAAUGAUAUCUUGCGCAAGCAGACUGCUCUCAAGGUUGGUGCUUCAUAAUAACUUUUCUAUCAACGUGCUUCUUCUGCUUCUAGAGGUUAAUUAAUUGUUCUGACAAGCAGACUGCUCUCAAGAGCUUGUGCUUAUCUUGUGUAUCAACGUUCUUGUUCUGCUUCUAGCACUGGGUCUAUCCCUUCUAUUGAGGAAGCCGGCUGGCAGACUGCUGCCAUCACUAAAUAUUUGCUGCAUACUUAAUCACCACUUUGUAGAUGAAUUAUUAUUUAUUUUUGUCAUAUAUGUAGUUCAUCUGUCCAAUGCUCUGCACUAUAAAUACUAAUUUGUGUGCCAGGCCACCAUUGUGGUAGUGCCCAUGUCUCUUCUCCAGUCAGUCACAUCGUGCUAUGAUGCACACAUCCUCAAGUCUGGGAAGCAACCCUGGUAAGCCAAUUAUUGAAGCGCAUUUUUUUAGUCCCAUCACAUGCACAAUCUCAUCAAUGGUUAAUUUUCCAUUAUCAUGUUCAAGAGUUUCUUGGCCAGCUCUGAUAAUUGGGAUCUCAUGGAUGCCACAAUUGCACACAAUAAAUAAACAAAUUUGAUGAUGCCUUCUUGAACAGAUCAGCCUCCCCCCUUGCAAAAGAAAAAACGAUCAGCCUCCCUAGAUGAAAUCAAUAAACUGGAGCACUCCAACUAUUUUCUACUUAGCCCUCAGAAACAAGUAUGACUACUAGCCAACUACACUCAUAUCAUAGAGCUCUAAAAUAUACUGUAACUAUCUCACAUGGUAUUGUACUAAAAAAACAAAGUUUUUCAAUUUUUCACUAAACUACUACUCAAAUCAUCCUAUUGUUGCGAAGUUGUGAGGUAUAUAUAUGAUAGCUUACAAUUGUUUGAAAAACUAAGACCAUGGUCUAUCCUAAAUGUGAGAUUUCAUUUUGAAUUAGUUGGUAGGCUUAAUUCUUUUGUUCUGCUUCAGCUCACUCUUACAUAAUGCCAAUUCGUGUCAAGAGCCCUUCGCUGGCAACUUACUAGAUGUAGAAACCCAAGUGGACGCAACCGCUGAGCCCUAAAUUGUUGUUUUUUGUGACGAUUAUCGGUAUGUAUUUACAUCAGCCAGAACAUCUUAUAUGGGUGUCUUAUCGUAAUAUUUCUACCUGGCAAAGAUUGAUUCUUGAAUUUUACCACGUCCUUUCCUACUUUUACCAUUCAAUUAUUACAAUUGCUGUAUGUAUCAUAUUUGUUGUCAGGUGAGCCUUGAAACAUACUCCCUUUGUAUCAAAAUAUAAGAUGUUUUUUGACACUGGAGUAUAUGGCUUGCUAAUCCCAUCAUGAUUACGAAUAUAUAUAUGUUGUUUGCUGCUGGAGAAAAAUAAAUUUGCUGUCCAUUGAUUGAGUGCAUUACAGUAAUAAUUUCCAAACGUCACAUGAAACAAGGAAAUAUUUUCACGUGACUUCCUGUUUUGACAGAUAUAACAAGGAAACAUCCACAUCAAUUUUGUUCUUGAUAUAUUUUAUAUUGGUUUAUAGCUCACUCAUCAUACCAUUUUUUAUUUGUGGUAUAAGAAUAUUUGCCUUCUCAAACUUCCAUUUUUUUGGGAUUGUACUAUGCUCAAUUAAUUUGAUAGAAGUAUACCCAGAGUACGAUAAACAAGGAAACAAAGCACACCCGCAUAAUUAAAUUAGCUUUGCCAAGGAUAUAGGGCAAAACUUCCUCGUGUAGAUCUUCUGCUUGUAUUGCACUAAGCUCUUGGUUACCAUUUGGAAUCUUAUUCCAGGAUCCAUGUUAAUCCCAUACAUAUUUCCGAGCUUGUAGGAUGACUGGAAUAUUGCCCUGUUUUACGUCGAAUAUCUCAAGCGACAAAAUUUGCUCUUAAUGUACUGCUGCAGGAUCUGGAUAUCUCUCAAAAUUUAGUACUUUCUGGUGUUGAUCUCAAGUGUUGGCUCCUACAGCAUUGCAUUUCACCAAGUGAAAUGCUACAUUUCUACUCCUAACCCAUUGUCUCUUUCUUAGUGUUUUUGUUAUGCAGGUUGGAAGAAAAGAAGAAGAUCCAGAGAAGAUCUUAGUAGUAAGAUAGUUUUUUAAGAAAAUAGAUAUUUAGUUUUAGGUCAUUUCUUGUAAUUUCAGAUAUGGAGUGAUUGUUUAUAGUUUUUGUUUUGACUUUGUGAAACUUGCUACCUAUGGAUGAAACUGUGUAAUAUUGAUGAAACUAUGUAUAUGUAUGGAUGAAACUUGCUACUAUUGGU